rnacentral:rRNA from 1 species
CCGUCUGGUUGGAUGCCAAAUCUCUGUAAAGUUCCUUCGACGAGUCGAGUAGUUUGGGAAUGCUGCUCUAAAUGGGAGGUAUAUGUCUUCUAAAGCUAAAUAUUGGCCAGAGACCGAUAGCGCACAAGUAGAGUGAUCGAAAGAUGAAAAGCACUUUGAAAAGAGAGUUAAAAAGUACGUGAAAUUGUUGAAAGGGAAGCGUUUAUGACCAGACUUGGACUUGGUUAAUCAUCUGGGGUUCUCCCCAGUGCACUUUUCCAGUUCAGGCCAGCAUCAGUUUUCGCCGGGGGAUAAAGGCUUCGGGAAUGUAGCUCUCUUCGGGGAGUGUUAUAGCCCCGUUGUGUAAUACCCUGGCGGAGACUGAGGUUCGCGCUUCUGCAAGGAUGCUGGCGUAAUGGUCAUCAACGACCCGUCUUGAAACACGGACCAAGGAGUCGUCUUCGUAUGCGAGUGUUCGGGUGUCAAACCCCUACGCGUAAUGAAAGUGAACGCAGGUGAGAGCUUCGGCGCAUCAUCGACCGAUCCUGAUGUUCUCGGAUGGAUUUGAGUAAGAGCAUACGGGGCCGGACCCGAAAGAAGGUGAACUAUGCCUGUAUAGGGUGAAGCCAGAGGAAAC